rnacentral:rRNA from 1 species
GACGAACGCUGGCGGCGUGCUUAACACAUGCAAGUCGAACGGAAAGGCCCUGCUUUUGUGUGGUGCUCGAGUGGCGAACGGGUGAGUAACACGUGAGUAACCUGCCCUUGACUUUGGGAUAACUUCAGGAAACUGGGGCUAAUACUGGAUAGGAGCUCCUGCUGCAUGGUGGGGGUUGGAAAGUUUCGGCGGUUGGGGAUGGACUCGCGGCUUAUCAGCUUGUUGGUGGGGUAGUGGCUUACCAAGGCUUUGACGGGUAGCCGGCCUGAGAGGGUGACCGGCCACAUUGGGACUGAGAUACGGCCCAGACUCCUACGGGAGGCAGCAGUGGGGAAUAUUGCACAAUGGGCGGAAGCCUGAUGCAACAACGCCGCGUGCGGGAUGACGGCCUUCGGGUUGUAAACCGCUUUCGCCUGUGACGAAGCGUGAGUGACGGUAAUGGGUAAAGAAGCACCGGCUAACUACGUG